rnacentral:rRNA from 1 species
GACGAACGCUGGCGGCGUGCCUAAUACAUGCAAGUCGAGCGCAGGAAACUGACGGAACUCUUCGGAGGGAAGGCAGUGGAAUGAGCGGCGGACGGGUGAGUAACACGUAAGGAACCUGCUUCAAGGAUUGGGAUAACUCCGAGAAAUCGGAGCUAAUACCGGAUAGUUCAACGGACCGCAUGGUCCGCUGAUGAAAGGCGCUCCGGCGUCACCUUGAGAUGGCCUUGCGGUGCAUUAGCUAGUUGGUGGGGUAACGGCUCACCAAGGCGACGAUGCAUAGCCGACCUGAGAGGGUGAUCGGCCACACUGGGACUGAGACACGGCCCAGACUCCUACGGGAGGCAGCAGUAGGGAAUCUUCCACAAUGGACGAAAGUCUGAUGGAGCAACGCCGCGUGAGUGAUGAAGGUUUUCGGAUCGUAAAACUCUGUUGUAAGGGAAGAACACGUACGAGAGGAAAUGCUCGUACCUUGACGGUACCUUACGAGAAAGCCACGGCUAACUACGUGCCAGCCGCCGCCGUAACAC